AGAAUCAACGCUGGCGGCGUGCCUAACACAUGCAAGUCGCACGAGAAAGGGACUUCGGUCCUGAGUACAGUGGCGCACGGGUGAGUAACACGUGAAUAAUCUACCUCCGAGUGGGGAAUAACUGAGAGAAAUCUUAGCUAAUACCGCAUAACACUUACGAGUCAAAGCAGCAAUGCGCUUGGAGAGGAGUUCGCGGCAGAUUAGUUAGUGGCGGGUAAUGGCCCACAAGACGAUGAUCUGUA
rnacentral:rRNA from 1 species